AGAGUUUGAUCCUGGCUCAGGACGAACGCUGGCGGCGUGCCUAAUACAUGCAAGUAGAACGCUGAAGACUUUAGCUUGCUAAAGUUGGAAGAGUUGCGAACGGGUGAGUAACGCGUAGGUAACCUGCCUACUAGCGGGGGAUAACUAUUGGAAACGAUAGCUAAUACCGCAUAACAGCAUUUAACACAUGUUAGAUGCUUGAAAGAAGCAAUUGCUUCACUAGUAGAUGGACCUGCGUUGUAUUAGCUAGUUGGUGAGGUAAAGGCUCACCAAGGCGACGAUACAUAGCCGACCUGAGAGGGUGAUCGGCCACACUGGGACUGAGACACGGCCCAGACUCCUACGGGAGGCAGCAG
rnacentral:rRNA from 1 species